rnacentral:tRNA from 1 species
GGGUUCGUAGCUCAGCCAGGUAGAGCGUUUGGCUCUUAACCAAUCAGUUUAUCUGGGUUAAAAUGUCGUGGGUCCGAAUCCCACCGAACCCG